rnacentral:rRNA from 1 species
GACGAACCGUGCAAACGUUAUUCGGAAUCACUGGGCAUAAAGGGCGCGUAGGCGGCUCAACAAGUCAGGGGUGAAAUCCGGCAGCUUAACUGUCGCAGUGCCUUUGAUACUGUCGAGCUCGAGGGAUGUAGGGGUCUGUGGAACUUCCGGUGGAGCGGUGAAAUGCGUUGAUAUCGGAAGGAACGCCGGUGGCGAAAGCGACGGACUGGACAUUUUCUGACGCUGAGGCGCGAAAGCCAGGGGAGCAAACGGG